CUACGGAGGGUGCGAGCGUUAAUCGGAAUUACUGGGCGUAAAGCGUACGUAGGCGGUUGGUUAAGUUAGAUGUGAAAGCCCCGGGCUUAACCUGGGAACUGCAUUUAAAACUGGCGAACUAGAGUUAAGUAGAGGGGAGUGGAAUUUCAGGUGUAGCGGUGAAAUGCGUAGAGAUCUGAAGGAACACCAGUGGCGAAGGCGACUCCCUGGACUUGAACUGACGCUGAGGUACGAAAGCGUGGGUAGCAAACGGGAUUAGAUACCCUAGUAGUCC
rnacentral:rRNA from 1 species